rnacentral:rRNA from 1 species
GACGAACGCUGGCGGCGUGCCUAAUACAUGCAAGUCGAGCGGACUUGAAGGAGUGCUUGCACUCCUGAGAGUUAGCGGCGGACGGGUGAGUAACACGUAGGCAACCUGCCCUCAAGACUGGGAUAACUACCGGAAACGGUAGCUAAUACCGGAUAAUUUAUUACAUAGCAUUAUGUGAUAAUGAAAGACGGAGCAAUCUGUCACUUGGGGAUGGGCCUGCGGCGCAUUAGCUAGUUGGUGGGGUAACGGCCCACCAAGGCGACGAUGCGUAGCCGACCUGAGAGGGUGAACGGCCACACUGGGACUGAGACACGGCCCAGACUCCUACGGGAGGCAGCAGUAGGGAAUCUUCCGCAAUGGGCGAAAGCCUGACGGAGCAACGCUGCGUGAGUGAUGAAGGUUUUCGGAUCGUAAAGCUCUGUUGCCAAGGAAGAACGUCUCAUAGAGUAACUGCUAUGAGAGUGACGGUACUUGAGAAGAAAGCCCCGGCUAACUACGUG